UAGGGAAUCUUCCGCAACGGGCUAAAGCCUGAUGGAGCAACGCCGCGUGAGUGAUGAAGGUCUUCGGAUCGUAAAACUCUGUUAUUAGGGAAGAACAAAUGUGUAAGUAACUAUGCACAUCUUGACGGUACCUAAUCAGAAAGCCACGGCUAACUACGUGCCAGCAGCCGCGGUAAUACGUAGGUGGCAAGCGUUAUCCGGAAUUAUUGGGCGUAAAGCGCGCGCAGGCGGUUUUUUAAGUCUGAUGUGAAAGGCCACGGCGCAACCGUGGAGGUUCAUUGGAAACUGGACAACUUGAGUGCAGAAGAGGAAAGUGGAAUUCCAUGUGUAGCGGUGAAAUGCGCAGAGAUAUGGAGGAACACCAGUGGCGAAGGCGACUUUCUGGUCUGUAACUGACGCUGAUGUGCGAAAGCGUGGGGAUCAAACAGG
rnacentral:rRNA from 1 species